AAGGGGCUGGAAGGAAAGACAAAGCUGGUCGGCAAACACAGCCCCCAUGGGCGACCACGGCCCUCAUAACCCCCACCAAGACCCAUUUAAAGCUCUAUCUCCUGGCACCUCACAGCUGCCCUGCCAGGAAAAAUUCUAAUGUCUAAUGCAGUUUCAAAUGCCAGUACAGCAACGAGAAGUGGGAGGAAGAAGUGGAGUAAGAGCCCUGUGGUGCCGAGGAUAAAACAAACCUAGGCCUUGGGCAUGUUAGGCAAGCACUCUACCAGUGAGCCCACCUCCAGCCCCAGAAAAUAGUACAAUUAUAUAUAUUAAAAAAAAAAAAAAAAAGUUUCAAGGAGAGUUUGCAGUAACAUGAGAAAAUGCUCAUGAUGUUAUCAAUGUGAGGUGAGAAAAGCAGCUACAGACUGAAUACACCACGUGGUCACAGCCAUGGAGAAACCAUGCACGGGAAGAACGCGGAAGGACACACCUCCAAAGGGAAACUGUGACUGUCUCUGGAAGUGGGGUUUUGGAUGAUUGCUGUUUCCCCCUUUUUACUUUUCUGUGUAUUCCAGGUUUGCAACACUGAGCCUGUGUAACUUUUAUUGGGAAAAUAAACCUCGAUAAAUUAAAAAAAAAAAAGGCGAUUAGUAUGGUAGAGGUAAUGUCAGAGACAAAAGCUAUACCCCAGCCCAACACAUACAGUACAAUAAAACCAAAUUGGUAUCAUGAAACAGAACAAAAAAACUACAUGGAGAAAAGAAAUAGACUGGCAGGAAAGGUCCCAAACAUGGACAAUAGCUGUCUCUGGGUAGUGGGUCUACACGUAAAUCUUUAAUUUC